rnacentral:tRNA from 1 species
GGGUAUAUAGCUCAGCGGCAGAGUAUGUGCCUAACAUGCACAGGGUCCUGGGUUCAAUCCCCAGUAUUUUCA